CCCUCCUCCAAUCCUUAUCCCAUCGGUCCACACACACAGCGAGAGAGAGAAGGGAGGCAUUUUGUUCCUCGCCGGCGGUGGGUGCUUCUCCGUCGCGUCGCGGACGACUGUACUUGACCCGUCUCUGGCGAAGUGUCACCAGCAUGAACGUGGGACAUGACCCUCCUCCGGAUCAUAUUGGACAUGGCCCUCCUCCACCGGAUCCGAUGAAAAUCGCUACUGAUGCCCAACUUGACCGUCACAGUGAAGCUAUUGUGAUGAUUGUAGAACAAAAAAUAAAGGGAAGUGGACGAAGGGAAAAAAAACACACUGUGUUUGUUGCAUCUGGUUUUAUCAUUGGGAAAAAACAGGAUAAAAGAACAUUGAUGGUGAUAACGUGCGCGCAUGUCAUAAGCAGCAUAAUAGGAGUCUCAACUAACCCUGAGAUUCUAAAGGUGAGAUUAUUUGGGUCAACUACGGAGUCUGAAGCUACGAUCCUACACAUUGACAAUAAGAGGGACCUUGCGUUACUUAGUGUUGUGGUGCCAAAUGUGAACUAUUUUCCUGUUGUGAGACUUUCUUCUGCAAUUGAUAAGCCUCCUGAAACCAUUGUUGUUUUGGUUGGAUAUUAUCAUCCGGCUAAUGCCUUGGCAAAGGAGUUAGGUGAAAGGAAUCUUCUUCCUACUAUGCCUUCAGCUGUUGCUGGAACUAUUCUAGGACCAACGGUGAAUCAGGGUAAAAUGUUAUUGGUUAAUCACGGCUGCCAUGGCAUGAGAGGUACCUCAGGAAGCCCUCUUAUAUGUCAUGAUACUGGUGGUGCUAUUGGUGUGUUUCUAGGAACUGUGAGUCAGUAUCAUCAGGCUAUCGCUACUGAAACUGUCAUUGAGUUCUUGAAAGAGUGGCUUGUGGCUAAUCAUGCCAUUGUGAACAACGAUGAUGGCAUCAAUGAUACAGUUGAAAACUGUGUGAAGCUUCUCUAGUGUUGUGGUUGUCUUGAUCAAAAUCAUAUCCGAGAAGAGGUGGAUGAUGAAAACGAGGCUACCGCUGCAACAUGUGUGAACCUCACUUAACCUUGAACUGUGCUUUGCUCCUCUGUGCCCGGAUAAUAUUAGGUUGAAACACAUAAACUGAAAUCAUGGUUUUCUCAUUUAUUUAUGUAAUAAUAAUAUUAGGCUGAACCACUUAACUAGCCAUGUGAUAGCCAUGUGAUGUGUUUGAGUAUCUUUCAAUUAUCCUAAGUCUAUGUACUGUAAUGUAUUAGAACCUUGUUGUGGUUGAGAUUGUUGAACUGAUGUAUCUGUAACUGUAGUUUAUGGCACAUGGAAGCAAAGUAAUUGAUGGCUCGGUCUAA